AGCGCAGGCGGACCGGCAAGUUGGAAGUGAAAACCAUGGGCUCAACCCGUGAAUUGCUUUCAAAACUGCUGGCCUUGAGUAGUGCAGAGGUAGGUGGAAUUCCCGGUGUAGCGGUGGAAUGCGUAGAUAUCGGGGGAACACCAGUGGCGAAGGCGACCUACUGGGCACCAACUGACGCUGAGGCUCGAAAGCAUGGGUAAGCAAACAG
rnacentral:rRNA from 1 species